UUUUUGAAUACUUACAAGAUUAAAAUUGAUAAGUUUAUAGUUAAGGUACUAAAACCGGUAAGUAUAAUUCAUUUUCUCCACUGUGCUCCUUAUAUCAGGAGUAACGACUACUCUGUUGCACACGUCAUUUGGUUGGAGAUUGCCUUUAAUACAGGGCCCUUCAUUUGUUUAUCUUGCAAUAAUAGCGGAAGAAAUAUAUGUUUCAAAGCUCCUUCUUGCUAUGUUAUCGAGUAGUACUUAGCGAGCAUCCAUGUGGAUCUGGCAAUUUCUCAGAAUCUUGUUGAAUGGCAGAGUCCUUUUCCUUUCAACUAAAAUUCACCAGUAUGCUACUUUAAAUAUUGCAUUGUUCUUUGAUUCCGCACUUUAAUGACGAUUAGCAGCACACUUUUUCUACCCGUAGAUAGUGUGGGAUAUGAAUUGUUAAAUAAGGAGUAACUUGUAUGGCCUCAAGUACCUUAUAAGCAAAGCAGUGUUUGCUUGUUUCUACAGAUGAAAAUUGAUUGAGGAGGAUCUUACCCCCAAUAUUCUUCAAGAAGCUAAUAAGAAACAGAGGCGCUGUGAACUCUUAAAGCAUAUCUUAUUAGACAAAGUUUCAUUUUUCACGUUUAGAUAUGUUAGUUGUUUGGAUGAUGUGUUCUGUUUUCCAUUUGGAAAAGAUGGAAACUCCCUCUCUAUUUUAUGCAAUAGGCAAAUUUCUACACAACAAAAGAGAGUGAGCACAAUAUUAAUUGCAUCUCUUAACUUCAUUCUCAAGAUGCAGUGAGUUGCAAGUGCUUCCAAAACUUAGUAACACUGUGCUGUUGCACCUCUUCUGUAGUACCGAUAAAUUACUUUACCUUUGCAAGUAUGCUUCCUCAUGAAAGAUACAUAUCUUAGCAUCUGUUUGAAUGAUCUGAUCAUGCAAUAUUAUUGGGUUGUUAGUUAUGAUCCGCAUAUCCAACACUCCAUCUUCAAAAAGUUUUUCAAUUGCUAAAUGUGGUUUCAUUACUUGUAGACACUGUUCAAAUAAAAAUGUUAAGCAAAUUUCCUAGGAUGUAAUAAUGAACAUUGUUUAAGAAUGACUUCUACGAGCAUUAUUGAUGGAUAUGAGAGUUAUUUUCUAUUACAAAGCUACAAAUCUUCUUUGACCAUAUUAUCCUAUGCCUUUUUAGUUAAGAGUAACAUAUGAGAGUUAUAUGUCAAGUGAAUAAUUGAGAGCACUAUCUUUGGCAAAACACUAACACAGACUCAUUUUCUUGUAGAUAGAGACACAUCCCUUCUAAAGGGUUUAUUUUGGAUUUCAUAUCUAAAAUUUGAGAUUGUUUAGAGGUAAUCUUGAGUAGAUAAAAAUUGAAUAAGCAGUGUAUAUUUCAUGCAUAGUUAAGUUAUUUUUUAGUUUUUUGAGUGUAUCAUAAUGAGUAGUCAGUAAUGUUCUUCCUCUUUCCUCCUUUUGGCAGAUUAUUAGUAAGAGAUUAGGAAUCAAGCAAAUGAAAGUUGCUAGGAUCUUCUCAAACCUGCUCUUCUUCUUUUUACUCAAACCGGAAAAAGUAGACGCAAGUCUUUGCUAUUUUCAUCUUUUCAGCAGGCUAUCGCCAUUUUUAGGUAUGUUUACUCUUCCUUCAAUGUUCUUCGACUUCAUCUUAUUCUUUAUGUUUCUCUUUUUUUCCCUUUAUAUGUACAAGUUUCCUUCAGUUCUUUUCGUUUCGCAAGCAAUUUUAGUAUGAUUUCCUUUCCAGGUUUGUCCAAAUUUCUUUUUGUUCUCUUUCAUUUAUAUAUAUAUAUAUAUAUUCUACAAGUUCUUUCAAAAGUUAGUUACAAUAUUUGGAAUCAUGUGAGUAUCACUUACAAAUGUACAUUUUAUGUUUCUUUAUGUAUAGGAGGUUGUUGCUUCCUCUGAAUAAGCGGCUCAUAUUGCUAUUCUUCAUUCUAGAAUUAACUGGGUAAGUUUUGAUGUACUAACCUUGUAUAUUUGGAUUUAUUUUGUUAAUUUCCAUAGUUUUGUUACACUUAAUUAAAGCCUAUUGCUGAAAAUGCUUUCUUUCUCUCUUGGUACUAAGACAAGUAUUUUUGGUUGCCAACUCUUUGUUGUUGGUCUUGACUACAUAAAUUCGACUUAUGUUGUUGCUUUGCAACCUGGAACAAUACCAGUCUUUACGUUCAUACUUGCUUUACUCAUGAGGUCAGUAAACAUUUCAUCUCUCGAUUAUGUAUCCUUGUUCCCAUCACUCCUAUUUCUUGCAUGACCUGUGAGUUGAGUGAAUCUUUUGUUGCUAAACUUUGUGAGAUGUGAAAGAUCAAGUUCUAUCAAGUAUAAGUGUUGUAUUUUAAUACCAAACUGUUUUGUGCUUUAAAUUGGAGCAACCACAAAUACUUUAUUUUUGUGCAUAGAAUGAGAGCAUUGCAAUCAAUUCGAGAAUGUAUAUCCUUCUAAUUGAUACAAUAUGACCUGAGAUAAGUCCCUAUUUUUGUUGAAAUGGACUUUCUAAGGAACAAAAUAUCAGAAAUUCAGGAACAAAUUAAAUCCGAGAUAGAGGAGGUAAUUCAUCUAAUUCCAGAAAAAAUGCUGCAUAUAGUUUGGUCAUAUAUGUGCCACAUAAAAUGGGAUGGAGGGAGUACUUAAAACGAGGGGUUGGGUUGUUACAUAUAGUUUCUCUUAUGAAGAGCUUUAGGUUUUUCCAUUUCCUAAUCACUUUUUUUCCUCUUUGUUUUGACAGUUGCGACUACUAUUGGGUCUGUGUUGGCUUUUUGGAUGGUUCCGAUGCAAACACUUGAUUAGGAUGGCUAGAAGAUAGCUACCGCUCUUAUGGGAAGACACAUAAGUCCGCUUCCUAAGUCAUUUUUCUUUAACAACAACAUUUCAAGUACUUGCUAUGAUGCUUAUUUCUGGAAGUAUGUUGACUUCUCUUCAUUAAUUGUUUGAGCUGUCUUACAGUCCUCCUGUGACGGGUUAUUGAGUAAUGUAGAAUUGUAAGUUUACUCUCUUAUGUAAGUUUGCUCUCUUAUUUAGUUGUGUUCAUUAUUGUCCCUUUCUCUUCCUCAUGAUGAACAAGUAUUAUGCUUCUGUUCAAUGUUUUUUGUUCGACCACUGUUGUGGACAUGAAAAUAAUUACAUACGCAAUUAGAUAAAAUGAGACUAGAAUUUCACUUUAAAAUGCCUAAAUUAUAUCCCUAAAGUGUUUGUACUUUGUGGAUUUAUUGAAAGUUGAAACUCUGAUGGAGUAUCGUUUUCUCAGUUUAAUCUUGAGAUGACAUCAUUUUUUUAGUUUCUAACUAGACCUAACAACUUCUCCUCCUCUUCUCUUUCGUUUAUUGAUGCUUUAAGUUCUUUUUGGUUUCAGCUCUCCUUUUCAUUGGAUUAGCUUGAUUUUUAUUUCAAUUUUCCUGCUUUAUGUAGUGCUUGUGUUGUAGUCUUGUUGCAUGUACUGAGUUAUACUUCAUUAGCUGUUUUCGAGGGUUGUUGGUGUUUUUUGAUAUACGUGCAUUUAUUCUCUAGCCAAUUUUUUAGGUUCACUCCAAAAACAUCUUCGUCUCUCUUAACUCAUCCCAAGAAAAAAAUAAAAUCCACCAUUUAUAGUGGAAUUUUCAUCAAUUUCAUUUGCUAAUCGGUUGAGUGGACAAAAAGAUCAUUUAAAACUAAAUAAUAUCUUCCUACGGGAAUCUCAGGUACUACCACUUCAGCUGGGCAAUACGGUGUAAUAUGCGAAGCAGUUGAGCCAUAGUUCUUCGAUCGUUAUAUUCUUGCGAUAGCGAAGGUGUGGCUCAUCCUCUAAGAGAGAGUAGAUGCAAAGGUUCGGAUCGAAGAUCUUCGCGAGACAGCCCCAGCACUAUAGCAUGUCAGGAAUAAGGGGGACAUAGUGAACGUAACCACUCCCUUGAUAGGGGAGUCACGAUUGGGGGCUGUGACUCCCCUAUCCUUUCAAUUUGUUGAUUCCUGGGUCUUUUUUGUUAUCAUUGUUGGAAUAUUUUUGUUGAUAACUUGGUCAAUGCAGUUGCCCACUAUAUAGACUUGAAGACUAAAAAAUAAUUCCUUCCAUCUGAAAAUCAACAUAUUUCCCUGUUUCAUUACGAAAUCACAG
rnacentral:lncRNA from 1 species